rnacentral:rRNA from 1 species
UACGUAGGGUGCAGGCGUUAAUCGGAAUUACUGGGCGUAAAGCGUGCGCAGGCGGUUUCUUAAGUCAGAUGUGAAAGCCCCGGGCUUAACCUGGGAACUGCGUUUGAAACUGGGAGACUUGAGUGUGGCAGAGGGGGGUGGAAUUCCACGUGUAGCAGUGAAAUGCGUAGAUAUGUGGAGGAACACCGAUGGCGAAGGCAGCUCGCUGGGACGGUACUGACGCUGAGACGCGAAAGCGUGGGGAGCAAACAGG